rnacentral:rRNA from 1 species
AGCGCGGGUGCGAGUCGGAGGGUGCAAGCCCGUGGGCGAAGUGAAAGCGAGUUUAAAAACGAGCAGUUUGGGGCGGCAUAAGAUCGUUGAUCUUAAGACCGACCCGGAGCAGUUGCGCUGGGACCCGAAAGAUGGUGAACUAUGCCGGAGUAGGGCAAAGCCAGAGGAAACUCUGGUGGAGGCUCGUAGCGGUGCUGACGUGCAAAUCGCUCGUCGAACUUGGGUAUAGGGGCGAAAGACUAAUCGAACCAUCUAGUAGCUGGUUCCCUCCGAAGUUUCUCUCAGGAUAGCGGGCCGACAAGUUGUUUUGUGCGGUAAAGCGAAUGAUUAGCGCAUUUGGGGGCGUUUAGCCUUCGGGCGAUUCUCAAACUUUCAAUGCGCAAGGGUGCCGCUGCUUAAUUGAGCGGUACCGGUAAAAACGUCGGCCCUGUGGGCCACUUUUGGUAAGCAGAACUGGCGAUACGGGAUGAACCGUAAGCAAGGUUAAGGCGCCAAACUGCCCGCUUAUAGACCCCACAAAAGGUGUUGAUUCAUCGAGACAGCAGGACGGUGGCCAUGGAAGUCGGAAUCCGCCAAGGAGUGUGUAACAACUCACCUGCCGAAUGAAUUAGCCCUGAAAAUGGAUGGCGCUGAAGCGGGCGGCCGACACCUUGCCGUCUGGACAAGAAUUUCAGAUGAGUAGGAGGGCGUGGCGGUCGUGUCGAAGCACGCGUGCAGACGCUUGUGGAACGACCGCUAGUGCAGAUCUUGGUGGUAGUAGCAAGUAUUCAAGCGAGAUCCUUGAAGGGCGAAGUGGGGAAGGGUUUCACGCGAACAUUGAUUGGGCGUGAGUGAGUCGUUCCUAAGCCGAGUGGCAAUUGCUAAUUAACGGCGAAAGGGAAGCGGGUUGACAUUCCCGCACACGGAUGUGGAGGCGGCGACGCAUUAUUGGGGCGAACACGCUGGCGAUGGCGCUGGGCAGAGUUGUCUUUUCUGUUUGACCGCUUGCCCACGCAGUGUGGAAUCCUCUUAUAGGGAGAAACACGCGUGUACGGGCAGAGCGCUGGGGCUUUUCCAGCGUCCAGCUCGCCAUCGACGGCCCUUGAAACUUUGCCUGCUG